rnacentral:tRNA from 1 species
UCCUGGUGCUUCAAACGGUAAAGAAUCUGCCUGAAAUGCAGUAGACCUGGGUUCAAUCCCUGGGUCAGGAA